UACGUAGGGUGCAAGCGUUAAUCGAAAUUACUGGGCGUAAAGCGUGCGCAGGCGGUUCAUCAAGACAGAUGUGAAAUCCCCGGGCUCAACCUGGGAAUGGCAUUUGUGACUGAUGAGCUAGAGUGUGUCAGAGGGGGGUAGAAUUCCACGUGUAGCAGUGAAAUGCGUAGAGAUGUGGAGGAAUACCGAUGGCGAAGGCAGCCCCCUGGGAUAACACUGACGCUCAUGCACGAAAGCGUGGGGAGCAAACAGG
rnacentral:rRNA from 1 species